UUCCUUCUCCGCGCAUCCCACCUCCUCCGGCUCCGGCUCCGGCUGCCCAAAAGCCUCGCUGGUCAUGUCGGUCUCGUUCCCGAGCGGCACCAGGCUCCCCGCCGCUGACCGGGCGCUGUCCCUGACGCUAGCCCGCUCGGUCGCGAUGGAGAUCUCGGCGGACUUUGGCGGGGUCGACGGCGCGGCGAAGAAGGAGAGGCCUGCUGCAUUUUCUCUCUCUUCUUUUCAACGGAGCGCGCGCUAUUUCUUCCCGCUUCUGCCUCUCUCUUCCUCAAGCACUCCUCUCCUCUCUGUCCCGAGUCCUCUCACUCACCCCAAGCGCCCCCCUCCUCUCUGUCUCGAGCCCUCUCACUCACCCUAAGCGCUUCCCUCCUCGCCUCGUUCUUGGUCGAUGAUGGCGGAGCUCUGCUUGAUGGCUUCGCAUGGUUAUCCGCCGAGCCUCGUUCUUGGUCAGGAGCAAGGGCGCGAGCAGAGUCGUCAGGGAUCUUCAGCCAAUUUUGCCUGCUGCUAGGACAAGACAAGACAUUAUAAGAUUGGGAUCCAUGACCCUCAGUCCUAAUCAAUUCAAGGAGGCAGUGGAACCCCCUAUAUGUACUGUUAGCAGCAAAGCAGUGUGUGCAGAUUGAUUCUGUGGAGAAAGAUCCCAUGAUUCUAGAUUUGCAAGAUGUCCAACUCAAUUACUGGGCCCCUAGGCAGGAAUUGCUGAACAAUCCACCAUGCAGAGAGAAGUCUUUGAGUUUAGCAUGUCUGGAUUGAGUUGUGCUGAAAAGGCUGGACUAGAUAUGUCUCUAGUAUCUGAUUUAACGGGUCUUCACUCAGUGGAAACUGACAUGCAUCGCCUGCCCAUCAUUCCUUCUCUCGUCUACCCUAACUUUCAAUUUUCCACUCAGAGCACUCUCUCAGAUUUCAUGGGAGAUUUGGUCUGAAAUUAAAAAAUAACCAUUAACUCCGAUGGUAGAGUCUUGAUCGCAGCUAGUGGGGCUGAGAUGAAGGAUCUCCUCUCAAUUGUAGCGGAGUUUUACCUAUUGAGGAACUUAACUCAAGGGAGAAAGCUUUCGAUGCCAGUUCCUUAUGACAACAACCACCUCAUAUGCUUAGUGGGUCAUCGCCUUAAACCGUUGUUAAAAUUGAGCGUAUCUGUUUGUAGAUGAACAUGCAAUUGAGAAAUGCCAAAUUGUUGCCCUGUUAUAUUUGUGUAUGCGCUAGGCCAGUCUUUAGCACUUUAUGGAACUGUAUAUCUACCUCAAUAAACUUAUUCACUUCUUAACAGAUCUAACUGAGUGAGAACCUUAGUUGUAAGUAUAACAUGUGGGAAGUAAACACAAAACCACCCAUGUGCAUCAACUCAGUUGCUUGACAUUAGAGAAGCAUGACCCUUGGAAGGAAAUUAAGCUUAAAGGCUACAAUAAGCAGGUGGGUUGAGCUGACAUCUGGCAUUUCGCCAUACUGCUGGGGAUGUUUGUGCUCAGAAAUUUGCAUGCUUUUGAUGAACUUCAAAUAGUGUUAUUACAUGGCUUCUGCCUUAUGUAUGUGAGAGCCUCUGACCCAAGCGUUAUAGAAUCUUCGUUCAACAGUAUGUUAAGUCAAUUGUUUCGUUUUAUAUGUUCCUGUUUAUAUUCUUCUUCUUAUUUAUAUUACUGCUGCAAAUGUGUACUUUUGGAAAUAGACUGCUCAUAUCCUUAUGUCACACUAAUUUUCUGCAUUAUGGUUCUCGAUCAUUUCCAGGAAACUGCAAAGGAGGAGGUAGACAAAAUUGUGGUUACUGAUGCACCACUUCUCUUUCCUGCUGGACAGCUGGCAUUGGCGGCUUUGCGUCAUGCUAAUGAGGUGCAUAGAGUUCUGGACUAUGAAAGAUACCUAGAGAACAUGCUCAUACGCCAAAAUUCCAUUCACAGCAGCACAGAGCUCAUUCAGCAUCUGAAUGCGAUAGAUUCCUCGGUUAGGACAUAUAAAUUCCCUUCUGAGAAAGAUAUGAAACACAUCAACAGGAAGCUGAGGUCUUGUUGGGGCCUUAGUUCACAUGAUGAUAGUAAGAAACGAGACAAGAAAUCGAAGCACAAAUCCAAGCGGAGUGCAGGCUAGAUGCAAGAGGGGUCAUCUCUUGCUUGACAGUAUGUCAUAUGUGUCCCUUGUGUACUGCUCUCAUUAUUUCCUUACAAACCGUUCUGAUUGCUUGGUUUGUCCUGUUUUAGACUUCUCCUCAGAAAUGCUUCAAGUUCUUAAGAAACUAGUCAUUGAUAUAUGGCAGGUGUAUGCACAGCUGAGGCAUCAUCAUUAGUGCCACACUCAUCCAAAUAUGCAUCUACUGCGACCAUGGUUGCUGAACUUACUCUCCAAAGCUUGUUUUGUAUCACGAAAAUAUUCCACAGUAUGGAAGUGACAGAAAACAGUGGGCAUCUAGCAGCUUGAAAGAGCUCUUGAAAAGCAAUUGAUUUAGGAGCAUCGCUGACCAGGGAAGUUGAGAAUUUACAUAAACUACUUUGUGUAUUUUGUGUUCAUCUGGUGGUGUAAAUCAGCAGGUCGAGACAGUCAUGUAUUCGAUAAUUACUGUUGUGAAAGUUGGUAUGAUGGUAACCUACAGUAUUGGAACAGGCCUUGUGGUUUCUCGUACGGAAGACAGCUCAUGGUCUCCACCUUCUGCAAUUUCUUCAUGUGGAAUAGGGUGGGGAGCACAGGCUGGAGGAGAAUUGACAGACUUCGUUAUAGUGUUGAGAUCAACUGAGGGUGUGAAGACAUUUGAUGGUACUGCUCAUUUUUCAGUUGGGGCUGGUUUGAGUGCAGUAGUUUGUGCCAUUGGAAGGGCCGCUGAAGCUGAUGUACGAGUGGGGGAUGGUGGCUGUGCUGCUUGUUAUACGUACAG